UACAGAGGGUGCGAGCGUUGUCCGGAAUCAUUGGGCGUAAAGCGCGCGUAGGUGGCCAUGUAAGUCCGCUGUGAAAGUCAAAGGCUCAACCUUUGAAAGCCGGUGGAUACUGCAUGGCUAGAGUACGGAAGAGGCGAGUGGAAUUCCUGGUGUAGCGGUGGAAUGCGCAGAUAUCAGGAGGAACACCAAUAGCGAAGGCAGCUCGCUGGGACGUCACUGACACUGAGGCGCGAAAGCGUGGGGAGCGAACAGG
rnacentral:rRNA from 1 species